rnacentral:rRNA from 1 species
CGUGCAGGCGGUUUGGUAAGUUGGAUGUGAAAUCUCAAGGCUCAACCUAGAGAGGUCGUUCAAUACUGCCAAGCUAGAGGACGAUAGAGGGAGGUGGAAUUCCGGGUGUAGCGGUGAAAUGCGUAGAUACCCGGAGGAACACCAGUGGCGAAGGCGACCUCCUGGGUCGUUCCUGACGCUAAGACACGAAAGCUAGGGUAGCGAACG